UACGUAGGGUGCAAGCGUUGUCCGGAAUUAUUGGGCGUAAAGGGCUCGUAGGCGGUCCAUCGCGUCGGGAGUGAAAAGCUGGGGCUUAACCCCAGUCCUGCUUCCGAUACGGGUGGACUAGAGGUAGGUAGGGGAGAACGGAAUUCCUGGUGUAGCGGUGAAAUGCGCAGAUAUCAGGAGGAACACCGGUGGCGAAGGCGGCAUCCUGGACCAACACUGACGCUGAGGAGCGAAAGCCAGGGGAGCAAACGGG
rnacentral:rRNA from 1 species